UACGAAGGAUGCAAGCGUUAUCCGGAUUCACUGGGUUUAAAGGGAGCGUAGGUGGGCUGGUAAGUCAGUGGUGAAAUCUCCGAGCUUAACUUGGAAACUGCCAUUGAUACUAUUAGUCUUGAAUAUUGUGGAGGUCAGCGGAAUAUGUCAUGUAGCGGUGAAAUGCUUAGAGAUGACAUAGAACACCAAUUGCGAAGGCAGCUGGCUACGCAUAUAUUGACACUGAGGCUCGAAAGCGUGGGGAUCAAACAGG
rnacentral:rRNA from 1 species